AUGGUGGCAAAAGUUGGUCGCUGGGGAAGAGCAGUCUGUCUGCCGCACCCAGGGACAGAUGAGAACCUCUUUGAGCCUUACCUGUGCAAAGUUAUGCCAGCUGACUUGGCCACAUGUCUAUGUACAAAUAAUGUGCAGAAGUAGAAAAACAGGCGCCUGCCUCCUUCACCUGCAGACUCACCAGUUUCUGCAGAGUGGGAAGAUACUACUUUUCGCUGGACAAACCCAACUUAGCCAGUACGUGAACAUGUCCAGAAGAGAUGUUCCUUUCUGAAGGCGCAGGGCCAGCCAGGUCACCCCAGCGGCAGGAUGCGGGUAUCACUUUUUCUCUCCUUUCUCCCAAGGAGAUCAGAGGCCAUCACGCUUGCAGCAGUCUCCGAUAGCACUGACACAGAGGACUACGACUGUCUACUUCAGGAGCGAUGCCUCAGACGAGGACUCUGCAGCCACACGUACAGCGUGGUUGCAGAGUCUGACCCUGAUCUCCAGCAGUGCGCUGCUGAUGUGUCGGACCUUCCUGAUCUCCCCCAGGUCCAUCUGCUAGAACGGGAUGCUGUUUAUUUCUCCAAGCGAGACAGAUGGGAGGAGAUGGUCAAUGAGUUUGAGAUGAAAAGAGGAAUAGAGAGGAGUCCAGGUCCUGUCAAGGAGACUGAAUGGUAUGGCGAUACUGGCAUUAGCUGGAACGAAAGAAAACAAACAUGGGAAAAGCAUGAAGCUGGACGUCUGCAAAUCCCAGCGUGACCAGAGCAGCCAGUAGAGGGCACGGGGAUCUCAUAACGCUCGGAGCAGCCUAGCCCCACAAUCCCUCGUGGGAUGGAAAAGUAACGGGGCGUGCUGCCUCCUGCCUCCUCCUGUUUUGCUCAGAAAUCAAUAGUGCAGCAGCAGUUGUUCAUCCCUGAGAAUAACACGGUAUCCGUUAACAAUGGUUAAUAUUGGUAGCAGAUCCUACCAACCUUUCGGUGAGCUGGUUAAUGAUGAUAUUAUUUCCAAACACUGUUCCAAACUAGUUCUCUGGGAAGGAGAAUGCAUUAGUGGCAGGCAGGAGCCUGCCAACUCCAUGAACUGCCUCUGUGAUCACGCUGCAAGGACUUUGCUUUUUCUAAGCACUAAUAUAAUUAAAAACCAUUUUAACACGUUUUUGAUGUUAGAGUACAUGGACUUUGGAAUAAAGCUGCGUGGCUUUGUUUACUGAAACACCACUGUGAUAACAAACAGUGUUUGUUUGUUUGUUUGCUUUCCAAAACUUACUGGAUUUGGAUGAAAAUAGGAAAAACAACAACGACAACAACAAAACAAACAAAAAACCCCCACAGAUUACCUUCUGCUGGAGCUACAGUUAUUCCACUUCCUUCCUCUCAGCUCUGUCACCAGGUGAAUUAAAGGCCUCCCUCGCUGCAUAGCAACGUAUUCCGUGUAAGCAAUGCUCAGCAACAACAAAAGCAUCCAUGCGCUAUUACCAGCAUUUCUAUCAAAAAUCCAAAGUACUGCAUCUUAGAGGCCUCUACAAAUAAAAUUAACUCUGUCCCAGCCAAAACCAUGACAUCUGUGACUGCGGAUGGAGUACGCUUCUGGCUGCUUGCGGCACGAUAGAAGGGAAAAAGCUGUUUGACGUAAGAUGGCAGCACUAGAAAAGAUCGAAAAGAUUUGACUGUCUAAACUUUGUCUUAGCAGCAGCAUGUGAGACAGAAGAAUUUCUGGCUGUUAGGUGUUACAGUAUCCGUGCUGGCGUCUAGCUUCAGUGGGCACAAGAUACCAAUAUCCAGGUGCAGUUUCUCUGGCAAGGUGUAUACGGUAUUUACCACCAGCUCUCAAUGAACAUCACACAGAUUUGCCCUAAUUUUAGUACCGCUGCCAAACAGGGUGUGCAUAUGGCAGUGCUACAGGCUCAGAUACAUCAGAUAUGGCUAUGUGGCCCUUCUCUAUGGAUCUAAUCGCAUUGCGCGUGGCAGGUUGGGUCGUACAACACUGUGCUACCAGUGAGGUAAAUGAGGCGUUCUGGGAGGAAAGAGACUGAGAGCACGUGAGAAAUAGGCAGGUCUGCAGACUGCUGGAAGUAUUUAAUUUCCUUUAAGAGGGGGAAAACGUAUUGUCCUUGUGUAUUGACACCUAUCGCUGGGGCUUCUUAUUUACAGUUUUGGUUUAUUUGCAAAGUACGUAUGGAGACUUCAGGGAGCUAAAAGGGAAAUACUCUGGCAGGUUUCCUUCAGCGAUUUUUUUCUGAUGUGCACUAUUGGCUGUGAGCGUACGACUCGGUCUACCUCUCCUAGAGUCGACUUCCAGCAGUGCUGUUCUGCUGCCAGAUGGUCAAAUGAAAUGAGAACAGAAUGGUUAAGCUCUGACUGAUAUGGACACUCAUGCCAAUUUGGUUUUGAACUUUUCCUUUGGAACUACAAUUUGGAAAUAAAUGGAAAGAGGUGAGAGCACACGAAGAAAGGAAUUUGUUUCCUGUGUUCCCCCCUCCCCCCUUUUUUUUUUAAACUAAAAAUUUGCUUAAUCUGGCACAGCCGUAAACCGUUUAUCAGAUUAUUACCUACGGACGGGUAGGG
ensembl:lncRNA